AGAUUGAACGCUGGCGGCAUGCUUUACACAUGCAAGUCGAACGGUAACAGGCCGCAAGGUGCUGACGAGUGGCGAACGGGUGAGUAAUGUAUCGGAACGCGCCCAGUCGUGGGGGAUAACGCAGCGAAAGCUGCGCUAAUACCGCAUACGAUCUAUGGAUGAAAGCGGGGGACCGUAAGGCCUCGCGCGAUUGGAGCGGCCGAUAUCAGAUUAGGUAGUUGGUGGGGUAAAGGCUCACCAAGCCAACGAUCUGUAGCUGGUCUGAGAGGACGACCAGCCACACUGGGACUGAGACACCGG
rnacentral:rRNA from 1 species